rnacentral:lncRNA from 1 species
ACUCUGUGACUACGACUCCCCAGGGGACCUUAAUUCAAAUAUUUGCGGAGCUGAGCAAGUGGGGCGUCGGGGAGCCGCCGAGUUGGAGUGUCUCUCGACAGGUUGCUCGCAGGACUAGGCGCGAGUCUGGCACCGCGCCGCGGGGACGUCUCGGUGGCGUUUGCAUCGCAUUGCCUUGUUGUGUUUGGUCUGCGAU